AUGCAUGAAGUGUGUGGACAAGGACUGCCAGGCUGCAGGUGGAAAGUGCAUGCAGCGGGAAAGUGCAGCCGCCAGGUCCGGGUGCAUUUUACAGAGGUCAGGCUGGAGGUCGUGGUGUGGACCAGAAGAAAGGUCAGGAACUGGAAUCAUGGUGUUAGUGGUUCAGAAAAGUCGUGCAAUGCCAGAGGCUGAGUCAUUUGGCUUUGUUCACACACUAGCAAGUUCAAACCCAGUUCAGUUGUGUUGCAAAUCCAAUAUGCUAAGUCACCGUAAUUUAGCAGCAGGUUUCCCCUCAAGGUAUCAUGACAUUAUUUUUGUGGUCUCAACCAACCAGCGUUUAUCAAAGGGAGAGGGAGAGAGAGAAUGGAAGGAAGGAAGGAAAAAAGGAAGGAAGGAAAGAAGGAAGGAAAGGAAGGAGGGAAGGAAGGAAGUAGAAUAGGACCACACUUUAUUGCACGUAGUGAAGGGAGGGGCUGCUGCAUAUGUGUUUCUAUGCUGCAUGCUUAUCUGCAGAUGGAUGUACCAGACUGUGAUAUGAAACCUAUUUUUACAGCUGGUGGUGGCUCCUCUGAGCUGCUACUGGAUUUGACCUCCACCCCCUCUCACGCUGACUCUGGGUCCUUCGAAAUGAGUCAUGGAGAGUCAUUCCCUGCCCACUCUGCUGUACACCUCAUGGUUUCUGAUAAUACAGCAUUGUGAAGUCGGGGGAAGGCUGGCAGAGGGGCCCGGUCCAGUCUGUGACCUGAGCCACCACGGCAGGGUGUCCAGGGGGAGGGGAAGGUGGUGUGAAUCCUUAGUAAUGCAGGUCCUUCCCAGGCCAGGUCCCUGGUACCCAGGGGCUGCCCGAGGUCUACUGAUGCCCUAUCCAGAGCUGCCCCCGCAGCGAUGACUCAGGGUCCUGGUGGCCCCAGCAUCAUCCCUCCAUCCCUGGCUGGAAGGCAGGAGCAGAGUUGCAGAGCUGAGAGGCCUUUAAUUUGUUUGAUGUAAGACUUUGCUGCGAGACCAAGGGCUUUGCCUGUGAGUUCUGGCUUGGCCUGGCCUCUGAGAAAGAACAAACGCAGACCUCACUGGAAGGAACCUGGAGAACGGAAGAAGAGGAGAGGCUGCUGCUGUGUGCCCUCCCAGCAGCAAGGGGCUUCUAAGUCCCCUAGAAUCCCAGCUGUGUAAUUUAAGGCAGGUUCAUCUCUCGGAACCUCAGUUUCCUCAUUUGCAGGUGCUUGUCAUUCUCCUUCAUAUCCAUUGUCACUCUUGCAAUGAUAUAAAAAAUGCUUACAUUUCAGAUACAUCCCCAGCCGGGAUGUAAGGAAGGUCAAGACCCUCUCUUUCUUAUCACCUCUAUAUCAACUCCCUUCUACCUUGCCUCCCUCCACCUGGCCUGUUCUGGCUGGUAAAAUGUAGCCAGAGGUUCCUGGAAAGGCUUUCCAUCUCAAGUAAAGUCUGGCUUAGAGAAAACCACUGGUCUCUUUCCUUUUCUUCUUCUAGACAUGAACAUGGGGUUGGAAGAACAUGGGGAAGACAAGGACCAGGCUCUCAGAAGGAGCUGGUGUGGGGGGAGCCAUGAGAACUGGAGGAGGUAAAUACAGUUUCUGACUUACGUAAUGAUGUAUGCACCAGAAACCUCUCCUUGUGUGUAUUAAUUCAGCAGACAGUUAUGGAGUCCCUACAAUGUGCUAGUGGAACUUUGAAGAUGAAUCCAAUUUGGAUCCUGAAAAGCCUCAAAGCCUAAUAUAGGAGCACCAAGCAUCUAUUUCCAAGAGAAAAAGAGGCUCACGGUGUGACAUAACACUCUCUGGAAAGCAGACUCAGAAUUUGGGAUGAAUUGUCUGUGAAUCCUAUAAGGAGCCUGGAGGUGGUGAAGAGAAUGCCAAGUGGCGUUUCCAUAAGCCUUGACCAUCAGGAGACAGCUUACCUUGUUGAAUCUUGAUCCUGUCUUCUGACCACUUUGCGUAGUAGAAGAACAAGGUAAGAGUGGGAACAAAAUGGUGGGUGCUGAGGCACAUGCUUGGAGGGCAAAUACAUGGAGACUAUGAAUAGAACGUUAGAGUCCCUGCCAAGAUAAAGCAGACUUACAUGGCACAGUCCUUACUUCAAGAAUAUUGAUGGAGUUUUCAAGGCAGAACCGUGGGGGUGCAGGGAAUACAACCAUAAAUCAGAUAAAAAUAUCCUUUGUUUGCAGGGUGCCUACAGCCUUGUUGGCGGGGUGGGGCGGGGGUACAGUUAAUAAACACAGUUGCAAAACUGCACACCAGGUUUCUCAAUAGGAGAAGUAUAGGUUGCAAAUGGUGCACAUAGGUCGUCCUAACCCAGUGUGAGAGGGUCGUAGAAGGAAUUCUGGACUAGUGCUAUCUAAGCUCAGCUCCAAAGGAGACUUGGACCCUAGUUAGGGGAGUAGAUGUGGGGGUGGAACAGAGGGAAAAGCAGGUGCAAGAAAAGCAUGAUGUUUCAAAAGAACUAAAGAUACUGCAGUGUGAUGUGAUUUCAGCUAUAACUUUAGCAUACAGGAUGGGGAAAAAAACUUCUCUAGGCAAAACCUAGUAUUAUUUUGAUAAACUAUGCUCAAGUGCAUUACCUGAAAUUCAUAGCAUCUGCAUGAAUGGACCUGCUGCCUUCCCUUUACUAGUGUGCUCAGGUAGGAACCCCAGCUGCAUAUAGAGGCAAGAAAGGACAGGUUAAUGCAGACUUCUGCAUUUAAUGCAUUGAGUGGCAAAAUGUGACUCAGCCCCACUCACUGAAGCAGACAGCGCCCUCAAGUGGAAAUGAGGAUGAGUGAUCCUUUUGGGCCUCACUAGCCCCAACUUGUAUAUGCAGUAAAUAUGCUUUUUUUUUUUUUUUUUUUUUUUUUUUUUUUUGCCAUUUCCCUGUGAAACUGCAGUCAGCUGAUGGUCAGCAAAGUCUGCUGAAAUUCUGAAACCAAAUAAUGUAAGGAGUGUUCUCAUUUCUAUGAAGAACUGACUUGUUUUAUUAUCUAAAUUUGAAUCCAAGCAAGUUACCAGGUUG